CUCUGUUAUUUGCAAGGACAAGAAAGCUGAUGGUUCCUUUUUAUUUAUCACAGCAUCUACAGACUUUUCUUUAUUUUUUUUCCUAUGUCAGUAAUGGGGCUUCUGGUACACAGAUAUCUGCUGGUACUCAAACUGAAAGUGAAAUCCCUGGCUGUUGGUCUGGUUGCUGUCCUUAGGACACGUGAAUGUCUGCUCCUGUUUUGCUGUAGCUGCAGCUCCUCUCUGGUUCCACACACCUGCUUUGUCACAGAGUGUCAGUAACUUUGCAGAAGUCACUGCAUCCUCUGCUGUGCUUGGGAUCAACUCUGGCAUCUGUCUGAAUGUAUGUACGUCCCUACUGCAGAUCUGCUUUUCCUAUCCAGACUCUUAUCUGAGACCAAGGCCUGGAUGAUGUUUGGAGACUAGGCAUACCUUUACUGGACGAUCUGAUGGAUGUACACCAUGAUGUUCUAGGGCAUAAGAAAUGGAAGCCCCAUAAAAGUGUUGUCCAUGCUGCAUGCAGCUGUGGGGAUGUUUGCUUAAAUGAUUGAUCUUGUAUUUGAAGUCCUAUUGCUUGAUUUAUAUAUUGAUUUUUAGUAUCUUGACAGACCUUCCUCUUACACAGUAAAGCAUACCUGGGGUUCUAGUAGAAUUCUGCUCUUAGGUCAAGCUCAAACCUCAUUGCUCCUCCCUGCCUUCAGCUGGAAAUGGACAGACACCAUUUGUGACUGAAUAUCCUGAGUCACCGAUUCCCAGCUGGCAUGUGCACUGCAGUUCCGUCUCUUCCUUUCCGACUGCACUCCCUAGAGGAGAUUGGGAACAACUGCAGUCGUCAGCUCCAGCGUGGUGUGUGCACUUGCCGGGAUCCACACAAUUGGUGGACAACCCCUGUCUACGUCUAUGGGAGGUCAAAGUCCACUGCAAGCAGUGACUGAUACAAUUCCCUGUGUAAGUCAGGCUGGGCUGCCUGUGCCUCAGGUUCUAACAGCAGGGGAGUUUGUGCAAGAGCACCUUGGUAGGUGUUUGUCUGGAUUUCUCUGUGGUCCCUGUGAUGAUCCUAGGAAGCAGGAGGAGAUCCAGAAUUGUCUGAAAGCCAGGAUUCUUUGAAGUCCCAGAGAAGUAAUGAUGAGAGUUGUGGCUGAGGCCAACCUGCUAGCCUGCUUCCCGUUCUGCUUCUUGUAGGUGUCCAAGAAGCUGCCUCCAGUUUAUACAAUUGCACUCUAGUAAACAAUUUUGCAUGCAGAUAUGGGCAGCAGAUGUUAUUCAUGCCUGUGUGAACACUUCAGUGUUUUUCCAACAGGGAUGAUCCUCAGAUUGAGUCCUGUUAAACAAUGGAUGUACCCACCAGAAGUCCCACUGGUGACAGCCAUUCUGUUAGAGUUUGCACAAAACGCUUUGAAGGAUGGUCACGCCAUCCUUCUUUGGCCACUCAAGGGGAUUGACUCACAAAUAUGAGCAAAAUAAAAUUAGAUGGCUUAAGUGGCUGCAACCCCAGCUGUGUCCCCACUGCCCAAUUCCCAGAAGCUCAUCCCUGCAGCCAGCCUGGCUGUGGAAGGCAACUCCUGAGCUGCUGUAGUGCCAGCCCAUUCUUCAGGGUGUUAAUAUUUGUCUGGCUCCUCUGUGAAACAGUUUAGGAAGCUUAACCAGAAUAAAAAUGUGCACUUUUCCAUCUGAAGAAUUAUUUUUUAGUUUAAUUUCUCAAAUGGGCUCUGAGAAGCAGAAGCGUUGCUGUGAGGGCAGGGCAGAGAGAGAUGACCUUCCCUUUUGGGAGCAGCCAUUACGUCAGUUUUGCUGCCUCACAAAACUAUACCCUGUGGUUAUUUUUGGUGCUGGACUGCCUUAAUUUUCUGGAGAGUGAAUGAAGGAUUAGCAUAGUGUGCUUAUGACAUUUGGAAACUAAGCUCUCAGAAGAAAAAAUCAUAAUUUAGCAUGUGCUGAGGUGGAAAUGCUUAAAUUGCUAGGGAUGGAAAGAUGGGUAAAACAUGAAUUUUUUACAAUUAUUAUGAUUCAGCUAGGGGGUUAAAUACUUUUUAAAUUUUUUUUUGGUUUUGCUGCUUUUUAAGACCUCUAACCCAAUGCCUACUAUGCAGCUGCCUCUAGAGAGGGAAGUCUUUAAAGAGACCAGCUUUGUACCUAUAAAUAAUGUACACAGCAGAGUACAAAAAUGGAGUCAAGGAGAAGCUCCUCCUUACCUGAAUGUAACUGCAGCAGCUGCAUGAGAAUAGCUGUGGUCAGGCUGUGAGCAGCACUCAUACCCUGUCAUCCAUCUUGACUAAACUGCUUCUGAGAACUAAUUCUGAGAUUCCAACACCUGAAUAUCAACUGGUAAAUCCCAACUGCCUUGUACUGAAACACAUUAGAUGCCAGCAGCCAAACGUGGCAAGGUUUUGAACAGUGUGGUUAUAAUCCCAUUUGGAACUAAAGGUCUGCUGGAGUGCUUUGUUAAGUGUUGGAAUAUGGAGAAUUUCUCAAGUCCGAACCUCUGCUAUAAAUGAAAACACUGUGGCAAAAAAAUGUAAAUAAAUGCCACACAUAUUUUGUGUAAGAGCCCUUCCCAAUAUCUAUAAAUAUGGUAAUUUUGGUGUUUCCCGGUUUUGAGUUUUAAACAGGAGACAGACACAUGAAAUAUCACAAUGGAAGCAUUUUAUUUUUUUCAUGGAUUAAUUUUAUAAUUUCACUUUUAUUUUACCUGAAAACAAUUAAUGGAAACUAAAUGUAGUGUUUUAAAGAGGAUUGCCUUUGAAAGGAAAUAAUUUGUUCUUGAAAAAAUAACUUCAAUAGCUUCUCAGUUUAACUGCAUUUUAAUAUGAACACAAAACUCAUCCCGGGUCAGACUCUCCAGGAAAACUUUCUCAUUAUUCCUGUAGCAGUUGAUUCAUUCCAUGCUGCCUUAAUUUUGCAGCUUUAAAGGGCAGGUUCUCUGCAAAGCCAUCCACUUCAAAGCUUCAUAAAACAGAGCUUUGAAUAAAUUACUGAGUUAGAAAUUAUAUUGGCUGUGCCCAGCUUUGUGCCUGGAUGUGGGAAUACUUGGCACUGGGUGUGGAAUUCCAAGGAAAAUUGCCUCUUUGCUGGCUUGCCAAAGAGCAGUAAGAAGGAAAACUGCUGCAGAUGAGCAGACACGGAAAUCUCCAGCUUCCCCUUCCAGAGAACACAUCCUGAAGAACUGUUGAAUAUUAAUACACAUUAUAACUGGUGCAACACUGGGCAAACCCUGGCACUAACAGAAACUCCUGCUUCUGGAGGGGACGUGUCCCAGCGUGGCCACGGGGCAGCACUGCCUGCUGGAACUACUCUUACCUUUAAAAUGCAUCCCUGAGGAUGCAACGUGGAAUCCGUGGGAGUGGGGAAGGCCCACUGUGUGCGGACACACCAUGUUGGGGUGUGGGAUGCCCAUGCUUCAUGAAGCCCAGGCUGUGUUAUUUUGGAUUUUUUUUUCUCUCUUUUGCAAGCUUUAGAUAAUAUAAUACUAAUUAUAGCAGUGACAUAGUUGAUUUGUCUUUCACAAAGAGACAGCCCACCUUCCUCUGUAUUCAGACUUCAGCUGUGUGUGUGUGGAGACGAUUUGUCUAUAAUUGUUUGCUUUCUUCAGAGUCUUUUGAAGUUUAAAUCUUCAAGCCAGCUCCUUAUAUUAAAAAUAAAUUCUUCCAAGCCACCAAUAAAAUGUCAGCUGUGAUUAAAGCCCGACUCCUCAUUUUAAGACUUGUCUCCUAAGCACUGUGAGGUCACUCAAUGAGUCAGCCUUUGAAAGGACCAGGACCGUUAUUGUUUGGGUAAAGCCCAAAGUUCAUCAUUGCUUGCUUAAAUGGUUUCAUCACGUUCUAAAUGGCUUUGCAUUGUGCUGAAAGAAGUGUAAACUGCAGGAAUGAUUUGGCAGAGAACUUGUGAUAUUUCAGGCACCUCA